GCGGAAAAACACGUCAACGGCGCCGGACGUCGACCUCUCAUCCGCACCGGCAAAGGUUGAACAGACCACGUGACCGACGGGCACCGGACGAUCGGUCCGGCCAGCCAUAUUGUACGUGAGGGCAUUCAACCAACCUUUGCGACAGGGCUCGCCGCACCGUUUUCAACGUACCACAUCUUUAAUGUACAAUACGAAGAAGAGGCUGCAGGUACACUCGAAUUCAUCCGGAGGCGCUUUCUUGAGAUCAACCCCGAAAGAGGGACCAAGGCCAGCCGCGGCGAGACCGUCUCCAAGAGGACAGGAAAAACCGUUCGAAGGAAGUCGGUCACCGUCAACCCCCGUGUUUCAACUCUGCUAAAAAACCUCACAGACUUUGAGUGGAAUGUCACAUCGUUCAGUGAGAACUUUUUAACCAGG